rnacentral:rRNA from 1 species
GCAUAUCAAUAAGCGGAGGAAAAGAAACCAACAGGGAUUGCCCUAGUAACGGCGAGUGAAGCGGCAACAGCUCAAAUUUGAAAUCUGGCUCUUUUAGAGUCCGAGUUGUAAUUUGCAGAGGGCGCUUUGGCUUUGGCAGCGGUCCAAGUUCCUUGGAACAGGACGUCACAGAGGGUGAGAAUCCCGUACGUGGUCGCUAGCUAUUGCCGUGUAAAGCCCCUUCGACGAGUCGAGUUGUUUGGGAAUGCAGCUCUAAAUGGGAGGUAAAUUUCUUCUAAAGCUAAAUAUUGGCCAGAGACCGAUAGCGCACAAGUAGAGUGAUCGAAAGAUGAAAAGCACUUUGGAAAGAGAGUCAAACAGCACGUGAAAUUGUUGAAAGGGAAGCGCUUGCAGCCAGACUUGCUUGCAGUUGCUCAUCCGGGCUUUUGCCCGGUGCACUCUUCUGCAGGCAGGCCAGCAUCAGUUUGGGCGGUGGGAUAAAGGUCUCUGACACGUUCCUCUCUUCGGGGAGGCCAUAUAGGGGAGACGUCAUACCACCAGCCUGGACUGAGGUCCGCGCAUCUGCUAGGAUGCUGGCGUAAUGGCUGUAAGCGGCCCGUCUUGAAACACGGACCAAGGAGUCUAACAUCUAUGCGAGUGUUUGGGUGUCAAGCCCGAACGCGUAAUGAAAGUGAACGGAGGUGGGAACCCGCAAGGGCGCACCAUCGACCGAUCCUGAAGUUUACGGAAGGAUUUGAGUAAGAGCAUGGCUGUUGGGACCCGAAAGAUGGUGAACUAUGCUUGAAUAGGGUGAAGCCAGAGGAAACUCUGGUGGAGGCUCGCAGCGGUUCUGACGUGCAAAUCGAUCGUCAAAUUUGGGCAUAGGGGCGAAAGACUAAUCGAACUAUCUAGUAGCUG